CUCCCAACUUUCUACUCCCUUCUCUAACAGAGCUUCUCCUCCCUUUGCUUUGGGGAAACUUGCCCGUGGUUCACCAUGGUUGCAGGCCCUGAAUUGCAAUUCUUUGCUGAUCUAGAACAAACCCAUUUUUGCUGGAGAAAUAACUAGCUGUUUAUUUGCUUAAGGUCACCAUUUUGGUGGCCCAUACAGGGAUACAGAGGAAACCCCUGAGGACUCCGAGGCUGCUGAGGAAACAGGUGGGGUGCUCACAGAGCCCGUUGAGCUCGCUGCUUUUCUCCGGACCCUGGAGUUUGAGACUAAAAGGACCAGGAUGAAGUGGGAAACUAUGUCUACUCCAGAUUUAGUUUAUCUGGCAAACCAAUUCUCUCACACUCAAGUCACUUGAAAGAAAGACUGCUAAAAUUCUCACUGUUCAACUCCAGCAAAUGAAGGCCCCUAAAGGAAACCAAAAACCUCCUAGUUUCUGCUGGUAUUGCAAAGAGCCAGGACACUGGAAAAGAGCUUGUUACAAAUUUAAGUGCUUCAAGUGCCGUUAGCCUUCUAACCAGCCUUUCCGAUGUCCUCCAAAUUCCCACUGAGGGGCCUCGGAGGAACUCCCAGGGCUCUUCCUAAUCCUCGCUCUUAAUGGGCUUGGAGAAGUGUUUCUCCAGAUUGGAGAUGAAUCUCUUUCUAUCCUAAUUGACACCAGAGCCACACUCGGUGCUCAACCUCACUUCUAUAAAGCAGCCCCUGCCUCAGAGUACUAAAACAGUUCAAAUAGGUGGAUCUCUAAUAAACCUCAAAAGGUUCCUGUCUCUGAACCCAUUCCCUUUUGGUGAAGCCCUUUGAGAGACACAUGACCUUUUCUCCUUAGUUCUUCCACCUCUAUCCAUCUCUUAGGCCGAGACUUCUUGGAAGAAUAACAUGCUGAAAUUUCUUAGUCCUGAAAGGUGGAAAUAAUUCUAGAAUUUGACAGCAGCCAUCAAAACAGCCAAUGAGAUGAAUUAAAUGACCCUUUGACAUCUUUUAUUUGUUCCCUCUCUGGUGGUACUGGAGCCGAUUCUGGAAACACUGAUCAUUUGUCCCUAUUGAAUCAGCUACCAGCCUCCUUACAGGCAAAAUCUUCAACUGAUACUGGUAAAAUUCACAGCGUGUCUCUCAUCAAGAUUCAAAUAGAUCCCUCAAAACCUCUCCCCCAAAUUAAUCAAUGCCUUAUAAGUCAAGAAGCUGUUCAAGCUAUAAAGCCCAUAACAGAAGAUCAAGUGGCUCAAGGCCUCCUUACCUCUUGUACUAGUCCCUGUAAUACUCCUGUUUUACCUGUGAGAAAACCCAAGACCUGAGGGUGGAGGUUUGUCCAGGACCUCUGAGCAAUAAACAACAUUGUUAUCCCUCCACAUUCUGGGUUCCUAAUCCUCAUAUGCAACUAACAUCCAUUCCCACUGGAAGCAAAUUCUUUAUAGUAAUUGAUUUAUUCAGUGCAUUCUUUAGUAUUUUAGUUGAUGAAGCUAGUCAAUACCUUUUUACCUUCACUUGGGAAGGAAAACAAUUCACGUGGGCAGUGGGCAGCAAUGUCUCAGGGUUUUACUGAGAGCCCUUAUUUCUCACAAAUCCUGGAGGCUGAUCUGGAUCAUAUAAACUCCCUAGGGUUCUACUUUGUUGCAAUGUGUGAAUGAUUUGCUUCCUUGCUCUCCCUCUCAAGUCUCCUCACAGGAAGACAGCAUCCACUUGCUAAAACGUUUAGCCUUAAAGGGACAUAAGGUCACCAGAGAGAAAUUGCAGCUUGCCCAAACCCAGGUGCAAUGUUUAGGGCGUCUGGUAUCAGGACAAGGGCUACACCUAGAUCCAGAUAGGCUUCGUGGUGGCCUAAGUUUCACAAAACCCCAAACUAAGUUUCAACUGUGAGGUUUUCUCUGGCUAGUUGGUUAUUGCUGAAAUUAGAUUCCAGAUUUUUCUCUUAUGACCAAACCUUUCUACAUUCCUGAAGAACAACCACCCUGACCCAAGUUUAUGGGAAGAACUGGACGGCAUAGACUUGAAGUCCUUAAAGGAGAGUUUAUGAACCCAUCUGCCCUUGGACAUCCCAAUGAUCAGAUUCUCUUUUUCCUUUCUGUAUAGAGAAAGGAAGGGAAUGCCCUUGGGGUACACAACCAAAAACACAGGGACCACCACUGACCCAUAGGGUAUUAUAGCCAGCAAUGGGACCCUGUGGCAUGGGAUACCCCCCUGCCUUAGAGCCCUUACUGCCACUGCCUUUUUGGUUAAGGCCACUGAGAGGAUCAUUGUGGGACCACCUUUAACCAUUUUUGUCCCUCAUGCAGUAGAAGCCCUCCUGAGUCCUCAGCACACUCAACACGUUUCGUCUCACCUUCUAUGAAAUCCUUUUGUUAACUUCUCACAUAACUCUUUUAUGUUGUAAUAACCUUAAACCUGCCACUCUUCUCCCCUCCGUUACUGACAAAGUCCCUCACGACUGCUGAACACUGGCAGAUCACCUCCCAGCUUCUCAAGAUGAUGUGCAGGAAGCUCCUUUGGGUAAAGCCAGCCCCUCAUGGUUCACUGAUGGUUCUUACUAAAGGUGACAAUGGCAAAUGCUGUGCUGGGUGUGAUAUUUCAACUCCUUUUGAUAUCAUUGAGGCAGUGCCUUUACCUAUGGCUGCUUCAGCUCAACGUGCUGAAUUAUACACUUUUACGUGGGCUUGUACUUUAGCCAAGGGCAAAACUGCCAAUAUUUAUACUGAUAGUAGAUAGGCUUUCUGAGUAGCUCAUGAUGUUGGAAUGUUGUAGAGGCAAUGUGUCUUCCUUGCUUCCAGUGGAAGUAAAAUUAAAAAUGGCCCCUGCAUUCAGGAUUACUGGAUGCUAUAUUUUUACCUGCUGCUUUAGCUAUUGUAAAGACCCUGGGGCAUUCUAAACCUGACUCUCUGGAAACUGAAGGAAAUCACCUUGCUGAUAUUUCUGUAAGGAAUGCAGCCCUUAAAGGAGCCAGCAAUAACCAAACCUUUCUCAUGGUCCCAAGGGAUGUUUCCCCAAAUGAUAACUUAGAAAAACUGGCUAGAGAAGCCCAACGUUGGCCUCAGAAAAGAAAAAACAAGAGUAGAAAUUCAAUAAUCAUUGGUUUGAUAAAAAGAGAAAGUUCUGGUUCCAACCAAAGAACAACUCAGUCCUAUUGGGAACUCUAAAAUUCCCACUCCUAACCACUGUACAUGCAUUAAACCAUUGGCCUACUGACAAAAUUAUAGCAUUCAUGAAACAAUAUUGGUGGCAAAGUAUCAACAAGGCCGCAAAAAGUGUCUACUUCACUUGUCCCACUUGUCCAAAAUACAAUUCAAGGAAGCCUGUUCAUACUGCUCCCAGACGAUUUAAACUGCUUAAUGGUCCAUUUGAGGUUUAGCAAAUGGAUUUCAUACAAUGUCCCCCGUUUCGUGGCUAUAAAUAUGCUUUAGUCAUGGUCUGUAUGUUUUCUCACUGGACUGCGGCCUUCUCUUGCAGACAGGCUACUGCCUCUUCUAUGGCUAAAGUCCUUCCGGAAAGGGUUAUCCCUGCCUGGGGAACUCCUCUCGAACUUCAUGAUGCUGGAGGGAUCCAGUUUACUGGUCAGGGACUUUGAUAAGUCUGCACUGUUUGGCCAGUUUUAAGACACUUUCACUGUACUUACCAGCCUCAAUCUUCUGGUUUAGUGGAACACACUAACGGCAUUAUUAAGACUCAAUGGGCAAAGUUUGUAGAGACCCUCCAAAUACCUUGGCCAGAAGCAUUCCAGUUGGUCCUUCUAAAUAUCAGAUCCACACCCUUUGAACUCAUAAACUCUCAUCCUUUGAGAGAGUCGCAGGAUGCCGACUGCACUGGCUCCUGCCUCUCUUGACCCACACCCAAUAAAAGGAGAUAGUCUCCAAUAUUGCAAAUGCCUAACUGCUUCUAUUCAAAAUAACCACGUUUUGGUAGAGCAAUCUCUUCACAGUGCGCUCCAGGGAGACAGAGACCUAAAGCACAACACCUUGCAACCUGGAGAUUUUGUCUAUUGAAAAAGACACCUCCAGAAGGACUCAACCUCGCUGGAAAGCUCCUAUCAGGUACCGUCAACUAACCUUGUACUGCAAAACUCCAGGAAACAGACUCUUGGAUUCACGUGACACACAUAAAGAAAGCACCAAACCCUGACUGGACCUGCACAUCAUCUGGUGACUUAAAAGUAAAGAUUUCCUGGGAUUGAAGCGGAUGACAUCUAAUGAAACAUUUUCUCAAGAUGUUCACACCAGGCCUGCUGGAAGUUUGUCUGCCAAACCUUUGAUGAUGACGUGACGUUUCAGAUGAUCUCCAGUGCCUAUGAUCUCGAUAACAUAUGGACUUUAGCAAAGAAAAAUGCCUGAGAGUUCUCCCUCCCACACCUCCUUUUUACUCAAAUGUGGCCGUAAUAGCUUUCCAGUCUGUGCGCUUUCCUUCCGAUGUGGGACACCACAUCCAGGAAAGGUCCUUGCUGGCACCCACAGACAAAAAGUUGAUGAAACCGGACAAACCUGACUCUUGAUCACUGAUGCUUUCAGAGAAAGACCUUGAUGGAAAGGAGAAAUGUGGAAAUUAAUAAACAGAAACCUCAUUAAAUUGGAGUCAGGAGGCCAAAAGGGGGAGCCCUCAUGCCCUAUGUGACAGCAGAGCCCAAGAGGAAGAAGAAAGAUUUCCUCUUCUUGAUGGACAAGAAACUCAACCAAUGAGAGGCUGUCACAACUCAACCAAUGAAAAGCCACUACCCCUAGAACUCUUUGUUUACAAUAGUCCUCCCAACUUCCUCUUCCUGUCUAUAAAAGUUUCUCCUCCCUUUGCUGCUGGGGACUUGCAUGUGGCUCGCCCUGGUUCCAAGCCCCAAACUGCAACUCUUUGCUGAUCUGGAAUAAACCCAUUUUCGCUAGAGAAAUAACCAGCUGUCUAUUUGCUUAAGGUCAAUAGCAGUACAUAGUAAACAUUCAAGAAAUGUCCAUUGGAUCAAAUUUAAUGUUUGUAUCUACAUGGGUAGAAAGAACACUACUCAUAGCAUAUUUUAUACCAAG
rnacentral:lncRNA from 1 species